CGACCGGCGCACGGGUGCGGAACGCGUAUGGAACCUGCCCCUGUCAGGGGAAUAGCCCAGAGAAAUUUGGAUUAAUGCCCCAUGGUAUCGAAUUACCGCAUGGUAAUUUGAUUAAGGAUUUAUCGGACAGGGAUGGCCAUGCGUACCAUUAGCUAGUUGGUAAGGUAACGGCUUACCAAGGCAACGAUGGUUAGGGGCCCUGAGAGGGGGAUCCCCCACACUGGUACUGAGACACGGACCAGACUCCUACGGGAGGCAGCAGUGAGGAAUAUUGGACAAUGGCCGGAAGGUUGAUCCAGCCAUGCCGCGUGCAGGAUGACGGCCCUAUGGGUUGUAAACUGCUUUUACACGGGAAGAAACCUCCCCUCGUGAGGGGAGCUGACGGUACCGUGAGAAUAAGGACCGGCUAACUCCGUGCCAGCAGCCGCGGUAAUACGGAGGGUCCGAGCGUUAUCCGGAAUCAUUGGGUUUAAAGGGUCCGUAGGCGGGCCUAUAAGUCAGGGGUGAAAGGCCACGGCUCAACCGUGGGACUGCCCUUGAUACUGUAGGUCUUGAGUUAUAGUGGGGUUGCCGGAACAUGUGGUGUAGCGGUGAAAUGCAUAGAUAUCACAUAGAACACCGAUCGCGAAGGCAGGUGACCAACUAUAUACUGACGCUGAUGGACGAAAGCGUGGGUAGCGAACGGGAUUAGAUACCCCGGUAGUCCACGCCGUAAACGAUGGAUACUAGCUGUCGGGUCUUCGGACUCGGCGGCCAAGCGAAAGUGAUAAGUAUCCCACCUGGGGAGUACGUUCGCAAGAAUGAAACUCAAAGGAAUUGACGGGG
rnacentral:rRNA from 1 species